rnacentral:tRNA from 1 species
GGCCUUGGGCGACUUUCUGAAAAGCGAGCAUCUGAUUUGUAAUCAGAGGGUCGGGAGUUCGAGUCUCUCUGGGGGCACCA